rnacentral:lncRNA from 1 species
CACGGAUCCCUUCACACCUGCUUGGAAGGUUGGGGAGCAGGAUGCUGACCCCUUUGUGUGGUUCCAGGCUAUAAUAGCUAAUUAACCUGGACACAGCUUGGGAUCAUCUGUGAUGUCCUCCUUUCCCCGGCAAAGCGGAUAAUGCUGCCAUGGGGCCAGGCCUGCCCUCAUGCAGCUAGGGGUCACAUCUGCCUGCACACAGCAUGGGAGAGUGUGGAGGAGGAGGGACAGGACCCUAUUUCCAGACAAUUGUCUAACAGGAAGAGGAUCAUAAAAUCCUAAGAUUGGCUAAUCAACCUCCCUGUUCUACAGAUGAAGAAACUCACACUCCCAGGACAAGUGACCUCUCAGGACCACACAGAAAGAGAGUUGAUGUAAUAAUUGUACUCUGUGGCUACAUGGGUGUGAACCAGAACGAGGCAGAAGGGAUCUAUUUUUCUAUUUAGUGCCAAUGAGCCCCCAUGGAUCUAUGCAGGGGCAGGGUGCUUUGUGCAGAUGAAGGUCGUGCCAGACAUGGUAAUGAAGGCCCUGAACAGAGGGAGAACCAUCAGGGACUGCUGUGUGAGCAAAGCGUGGACUUUCAUCCUGAAAAAUGAGUGCAUCCGUAACAACAUCCUCAAACAUAGACGGCUCUGAUUAGCGCUCCAGGAGCCCUCUCUCUAAAAACAUCUGAAAAUGCCUCCUUCUUCCCGGGGCUCACACGAAUGGGCUGCUGCAUUACCUAAUAGCCACCCAUGGCUUCACGAGGAGGGAUGCUCACAGCCCCCUGCAGAGCAGCCGCCUUGUUCCAGCGCCACAGGGAAGCGUCUGCCUUGACUUCCACCCACGCAGUGUCCGCUUCCACACAAUCACCCUGAACGGCAAAGGCUAAACACUUUGGUAAUCCAAAACAGUAAACC